GCUCGCUUAGCUCAGUUGGUCAGAGCGUGGUGCUAAUAACGCCAAGGUCACAGGUUCGAUCCCUGUAGUGAGCA
rnacentral:tRNA from 1 species